AUUGAACGCUGGCGGCAGGCCUAACACAUGCGAGUCGAACGGUAACAGGAAGAAGCUUGCUUCUUUGCUGACGAGUGGCGGACGGGUGAGUAAUGUCUGGGAAACUGCCUGAUGGAGGGGGAUAACUACUGGAAACGGUAGCUAAUACCGCAUAACGUCGCAAGACCAAAGAGGGGGACCUUCGGGCCUCUUGCCAUCGGAUGUGCCCAGAUGGGAUUAGCUAGUAGGUGGGGUAACGGCUCACCUAGGCGACGAUCCCUAGCUGGUCUGAGAGGAUGACCAGCCACACUGGAACUUAGACACGGUCCAGACUCCUACGGGAGGCAGCAGUGGGGAAUAUUGCACAAUGGGCGCAAGCCUGAUGCAGCCAUGCCGCGUGUAUGAAGAAGGCCUUCGGGUUGUAAAGUACUUUCAGCGGGGAGGAAGGGAGUAAAGUUAAUACCUUUGCUCAUUGACGUUACCCGCAGAAGAAGCACCGGCUAACUCCGUG
rnacentral:rRNA from 1 species